rnacentral:rRNA from 1 species
GGAAUUCGAUUAACGCGAAGAACCUUACCCAGGCUCGAACGGUAGCUGACAUCCUACGAAAGUAGGCUCCCGCAAGGGCAGCUAUCGAGGUGCUGCAUGGCUGUCGUCAGCUCGUGUCGUGAGAUGUUGGGUUAAGUCCCGCAACGAGCGCAACCCUUGUCUUCUGUUGCCAUCGGGUUAUGCCGGGCACUCUGAAGAGACUGCCGGUGACAAACCGGAGGAAGGUGGGGAUGACGUCAAGUCAGCAUGGCCUUUAUGUCUGGGGCCACACACGUGCUACAAUGGCCGGUACAGACCGUCGCGAUACCGUAAGGUGGAGCUAAUCGGAGAAAGCCGGUCUCAGUUCGGAUUGCAGGCUGCAACUCGCCUGCAUGAAGUUGGAAUCGCUAGUAAUCGCGGAUCAGCACGCCGCGGUGAAUACGUUCCCGGGCCUUGUCACACCGAAUCACU